rnacentral:rRNA from 1 species
GACGUAGGGCGCGAGCGUUGUCCGGAUUUAUUGGGCGUAAAGAGCUCGUAGGCGGCUCGUUGCGUCAACCGUGAAAACCCGGGGCUCAACUCCGGAUCUGCGGUGGGUACGGGCAGACUAGAGUGAUGUAGGGGAGACUGGAAUUCCUGGUGUAGCGGUGAAAUGCGCAGAUAUCAGGAGGAACACCGAUGGCGAAGGCAGCUCGCUGGGACGUAACUGACGCUGAGACGCGAAAGCGUGGGGAGCAAACAGG